UUUGGUUAAGUUAGAAAGGGCGCACGGUGGAUGCCUUGACACUAGGAGUCGAUGAAGGACGGGACUAACGCCGAUAUGCUUCGGGGAGCUGUAAGUAAGCUUUGAUCCGAAGAUUUCCGAAUGGGGAAACCCACCAUACGUAAUGGUAUGGUAUCCUUAUCUGAAUACAUAGGGUAAGGAAGACAGACCCAGGGAACUGAAACAUCUAAGUACCUGGAGGAAGAGAAAGCAAAUGCGAUUUCCUGAGUAGCGGCGAGCGAAACGGAACAUAGCCCAAACCAAGAGGCUUGCCUCUUGGGGUUGUAGGACAUUCUAUACGGAGUUACAAAGGAACGAGGUAGACGAAGCGACCUGGAAAGGUCCGUCGUAGAGGGUAACAACCCCGUAGUCGAAACUUCGUUCUCUCUUGAAUGUAUCCUGAGUACGGCGGAACACGUGAAAUUCCGUCGGAAUCUGGGAGGACCAUCUCCCAAGGCUAAAUACUCCCUAGUGAUCGAUAGUGAACCAGUACCGUGAGGGAAAGGUGAAAAGCACCCCGGAAGGGGAGUGAAAGAGAUCCUGAAACCGUGUGCCUACAAAUAGUCAGAGCCCGUUAACGGGUGAUGGCGUGCCUUUUGUAGAAUGAACCGGCGAGUUACGAUCCCGUGCGAGGUUAAGCUGAAGAGGCGGAGCCGCAGCGAAAGCGAGUCUGAAUAGGGCGUUUAGUACGUGGUCGUAGACCCGAAACCAGGUGAUCUACCCAUGUCCAGGGUGAAGUUCAGGUAACACUGAAUGGAGGCCCGAACCCACGCACGUUGAAAAGUGCGGGGAUGAGGUGUGGGUAGCGGAGAAAUUCCAAUCGAACCUGGAGAUAGCUGGUUCUCCCCGAAAUAGCUUUAGGGCUAGCCUUAAGUGUAAGAGUCUUGGAGGUAGAGCACUGAUUGGACUAGGGGUCCUCAUCGGAUUACCGAAUUCAGUCAAACUCCGAAUGCCAAUGACUUAUCCUUAGGAGUCAGACUGCGAGUGAUAAGAUCCGUAGUCAAAAGGGAAACAGCCCAGACCGCCAGCUAAGGUCCCAAAGUGUGUAUUAAGUGGAAAAGGAUGUGGAGUUGCUUAGACAACUAGGAUGUUGGCUUAGAAGCAGCCACCAUUUAAAGAGUGCGUAAUAGCUCACUAGUCGAGUGACUCUGCGCCGAAAAUGUACCGGGGCUAAAUACACCACCGAAGCUGCGGAUUGAUACCAAUGGUAUCAGUGGUAGGGGAGCGUUCUAAGGACAGUGAAGUCAGACCGGAAGGACUGGUGGAGUGCUUAGAAGUGAGAAUGCCGGUAUGAGUAGCGAAAGACGGGUGAGAAUCCCGUCCACCGAAUGCCUAAGGUUUCCUGAGGAAGGCUCGUCCGCUCAGGGUUAGUCAGGACCUAAGCCGAGGCCGACAGGCGUAGGCGAUGGACAACAGGUUGAUAUUCCUGUACCACCUCUUUAUCGUUUGAGCAAUGGAGGGACGCAGAAGGAUAGAAGAAGCGUGCGAUUGGUUGUGCACGUCCAAGCAGUUAGGCUGAUAAGUAGGCAAAUCCGCUUAUCGUGAAGGCUGAGCUGUGAUGGGGAAGCUCCUUAUGGAGCGAAGUCUUUGAUUCCCCGCUGCCAAGAAAAGCUUCUAGCGAGAUAAAAGGUGCCUGUACCGCAAACCGACACAGGUAGGCGAGGAGAGAAUCCUAAGGUGUGCGAGAGAACUCUGGUUAAGGAACUCGGCAAAAUGACCCCGUAACUUCGGGAGAAGGGGUGCUUUCUUAACGGAAAGCCGCAGUGAAUAGGCCCAAGCGACUGUUUAGCAAAAACACAGCUCUCUGCGAAGCCGUAAGGCGAAGUAUAGGGGGUGACACCUGCCCGGUGCUGGAAGGUUAAGGAGAGGGGUUAGCAUAAGCGAAGCUCUGAACUGAAGCCCCAGUAAACGGCGGCCGUAACUAUAACGGUCCUAAGGUAGCGAAAUUCCUUGUCGGGUAAGUUCCGACCCGCACGAAAGGUGUAACGAUUUGGGCACUGUCUCAACCAGAGACUCGGUGAAAUUAUAGUACCUGUGAAGAUGCAGGUUACCCGCGACAGGACGGAAAGACCCCGUGGAGCUUUACUGUAGCCUGAUAUUGAAUUUUGGUACAGUUUGUACAGGAUAGGCGGGAGCCUUUGAAACCGGAGCGCUAGCUUCGGUGGAGGCGCUGGUGGGAUACCGCCCUGACUGUAUUGAAAUUCUAACCUACGGGUCUUAUCGACCCGGGAGACAGUGUCAGGUGGGCAGUUUGACUGGGGCGGUCGCCUCCUAAAGUGUAACGGAGGCGCCCAAAGGUUCCCUCAGAAUGGUUGGAAAUCAUUCGUAGAGUGCAAAGGCAUAAGGGAGCUUGACUGCGAGACCUACAAGUCGAGCAGGGACGAAAGUCGGGCUUAGUGAUCCGGUGGUUCCGCAUGGAAGGGCCAUCGCUCAACGGAUAAAAGCUACCCCGGGGAUAACAGGCUUAUCUCCCCCAAGAGUCCACAUCGACGGGGAGGUUUGGCACCUCGAUGUCGGCUCAUCGCAUCCUGGGGCUGUAGUCGGUCCCAAGGGUUGGGCUGUUCGCCCAUUAAAGCGGUACGCGAGCUGGGUUCAGAACGUCGUGAGACAGUUCGGUCCCUAUCCGUCGUGGGCGUAGGAAAUUUGAGAGGAGCUGUCCUUAGUACGAGAGGACCGGGAUGGACGCACCGCUGGUGUACCAGUUGUUCUGCCAAGGGCAUAGCUGGGUAGCUAUGUGCGGAAGGGAUAAGUGCUGAAAGCAUCUAAGCAUGAAGCCCCCCUCAAGAUGAGAUUUCCCAUAGCGUAAGCUAGUAAGAUCCCUGAAAGAUGAUCAGGUUGAUAGGUUCGAGGUGGAAGCAUGGUGACAUGUGGAGCUGACGAAUACUAAUAGAUCGAGGACUUAACCAUAUAA
rnacentral:rRNA from 1 species